GUUAUUUUUUUAGAAAGGUCAUUCUCUAUAAUAACACACAAGAAGAGCUAGACAAAGAGAUAGACUACAUCUAUAGAACAGGUAGUGCACACAGUUAUACUAAGAGUCUUUUGAAGAACGUCUAUAAAAAAGUACAGCAAUCACUGAUGGUUAAAAACACAGUAGAAACAAAGGAUGAGAUAGAAUAUAAAGCGAUACCGUAUGCAAUGAGCUACUCUAGAGUAAUUAAGAAUGUAGCACAAAAAAUGAAUAAAAGAUUAACUUACAGGAGGUAUUCUAUCUUAUAUAGUCGGAUCAGAAAUGAAAAAGACAAGUUAAAGAAUAACCAGAAAGCAGAAGUAUACAAGAUUCCAGUCUAGAAUAGCACCACAAAUGAGGACCAAAUAU
rnacentral:lncRNA from 1 species